UGCGUUAGUUAAAGUGUGUGUGAGACACAGGGGGGGACACAUGGCACGGGGGGACAGGAAGUGUCCCCAGACUCUACCCGGUCACUGACACAGAUUUGAGGACGAAUGAAACGAUUUUCAACCGGAGACAUGAACGACUCUCUCAGGACGAACCUGAGCUUCCAGCGAAAACAAAUCUUUUUGGACUUUUAACUUGUGCCGUACUUCAAAAGAGAUGAGUGAGGUCGUCAGAGUGUGAUGAGUCGUACCCAUCCAGAGCGACCUUUCCCCCUGCCACCUGCCCUCCAGCCCUGGUGCCUUGAGGGCAUCAUUAGGGGCGAGGAGGUUGAAGAUCAGGGAGGGAAGGUCCUCGGCUUUGAAAGCGGCAGCAGUACAACAGCUGGGCAGCCCCGAGUAACAAAGGAUUAUGAGGAGAACUGACUGGUGAGACAAUGCCACCACGGCACCUCAGCUCAGCUUCAUCAGGCAGCACAGUCUCAUCAAGGACAGGCCAAGCUGCAGGGGGGAUGAUGAGCGUGAAAUCAAAGCAAAGUUAGAAAAGGGAAAGUCUUCAUAGAGGAAUGCUCUUAGACCUUCUGCUCCCCCGCAUCAGGCCCAAGGGUUGGUCUGGGAGGAGGGUGCAGGUUUACUUAUGCAUGAGGAGCGGCUUUAAAGAAGUGACAGUUAACCCCCUUCACGGUGAAAGACAGGUUUAAGGGUUGGAGGUUGGGGAGAAAGCGACAAAAGGAUGAUUGCGUACGACCCGGGUGACCUUCGAGCUACGUGGACCUCCAGCUACAAAGGCUCAUAUUUGCAUCAUAGUUCAUAUUGUCAAAUAAAUCUUUCAAUUUUCGUCAUGCUGUGUCAGCAGCAUGCAUGAACUCCUAACUUGGUCUUGACUAGCACCGGGCCAGGUCAGCCCACGCCAGUCAUGGCUUAGAAUGUGAUUAACCAGAUCUUGAUCUGCAUUACCUUGUAUUUGCAUGUC